rnacentral:rRNA from 1 species
GUGGGGAAUAUUGCACAAUGGGGGAAACCCUGAUGCAGCAACGCCGCGUGAAGGAAGAAGGCCUUUGGGUCGUAAACUUCUGUUCUGAGGGAAGAAGAAAGUGACGGUACCUCAGGAGAAAGCCCCGGCUAACUACGUGCCAGCAGCCGCGGUAAUACGUAGGGGGCAAGCGUUGUCCGGAAUUAUUGGGCGUAAAGAGUACGUAGGCGGUUUGCUAAGCGCAAGGUGAAAGGCAGUGGCUUAACCAUUGUAAGCCUUGCGAACUGACAGACUUGAGUGCAGGAGAGGAAAGCGGAAUUCCUAGUGUAGCGGUGAAAUGCGUAGAUAUUAGGAGGAACACCGGUGGCGAAGGCGGCUUUCUGGACUGUAACUGACGCUGAGGUACGAAAGCGUGGGGAGCAAACAGGAUUAGAAACCCCAGUAGUCC